GAUAAUCCGCAAAGAAAAAACCGUUUCUUUCUUGAGGAUAAAUGUGUCUACAGAAGGCCUGGGAAGCCGGAUCUGUAUUUGACACUGUGAAGAAGACAGAAGCUUAAACAUGUUCAGUUCAUUCCACUAGAAGAAAGCCUUUUUGGUCUGCAUCUAAUGCAGGUAGGAUGGAGUCCAAGGUGAACUACAUCAGCAUGGAUUUAAAGACAAGACUGCAACCAG